AGGCCAUGGUUCCCGUUAGCUUGGCGGAUCAGUUCUCCACGGUGACAAUAUUAGCGCUAGACAUGCCUCAGCUGAAGUUGAAGGUUGUCAUUGGGUAUUUAGCAUGUUUUCCGUGCUUGGAGAAGCUCCAUGUUAAGUUGCUGAUGUAUACAUGGAAUAGUUAUAAGUGUGCCCUGCGCUGGGAUCCAUCUUGUCCUAUCGAGUGCCUUAACCGAAGUCUGAAGACCAUCGUGCUGCAAGCAUAUGGAGGGCGAAGAACACAUGUUGAAUUCGCCAAGUUUUUUUUAUCAAAAGAGCAAGGGUCCUAGAGGUCAUGAAAUUCUGUUUCAUUGGAGCGUACACAACAAGAUGGCAUCAAAAACAGCAUAGGAAGCUCAAUAUAAACAGCAGGGCUUCAAGGCGUGCUAAAUUUCUUUUUGUGGACCAGUGUGCUUUGCCCUCAAGGUUUUGGAUGGAUAAGUGCUUCUCAAGGAAAGACCCCUUCAAAGAAACUGUGAUUGGUGAUUGUAUCUGUAUCGCUGUGUUCCAUACUUCCAUUCUUCCUGGUGAUCAUGUUUCUUCCAGAUAUUUUUUUUCCUCGGAAGAAACAUCUGGAUUACUUUUUACAAACCUAUUUCUCUAUCAAUUGAUGAGACUAGAAAACACACUCCAUCCGAUCACAAAUUUGACUUUCUAUUUCUCUAUUGCUAUUUCAAGUGGAAAAAGAUAUGCUAGCUUGUUGUAAAUUUACUUUUGAAUCGCAAACCUAUUUGCAUUUUUACCUAUUAAUGGUCA